UGAUAACUACCCUCCCCUCAAGGAGCUGCCCGACUCCCAACCAGAAAGCUCAGCACGAAUGUCAGCAUCUUUCCCUUCUCCCUUCAUCCACCAGUCCUGUGAGGACUUAAGACACCUAUGGCAGAGGGAAACAACAAAAGAAACAUGUAGGAAAAGUCAGCCUAUGAAAGGGCAGCACAACAUAUGCAGAAAUUGGAACCAAGCUUCUACUUUUCACUGGCCAGG
rnacentral:lncRNA from 1 species